UGCAAAGAUGCUCCAGCUUCCACCAGGACUGAUGGAACAAAUCCAGUCAGAGAUGCAGUUUGUUGGAGGAAGCAGCAGAUCUGAGACUGUCAGGUGGAGGUGGAGGAGGGGGCGGAGUCUGUCCUGCUGCCCUUCAGAACUACACCUGACCUGCCUGAAGACGCUGAUGUGGUGUGGGUGCGCUUGGAACCUGAACCAGAAAUGACGGUCCACGUGUACCAGGACGGUUCUGGUCAACUUGAAGACCAGGACCAGGUCUACAGAAGCAGAACUAAGAUGAAUCAAGAUCCUCUGAAAACUGGAGACUUCAGUCUGAUUCUGGAUCAUCCCAAACAUGGAGACAGUGGACGGUACAAAUGUAGAGUCUGGAGGGGAGACGAUCUCAUAAGAGGGAAAACAGUUCUGCUCAAAGUUAAAGGGAGAGUUCAGGUCCAGGAUCAGAGGACAUCAGGAACAGAAGCAGAUCCGACUCCUCUGAUGGCUGAUCAAUCAGUCUGAUCUUUGAUUAUUGAUCCAAUCUGACUUUGGAUCAGAGAGAAAAUAUCAGUGAAGGAUCUGAUGGACGAUGGAUGAAGAGAGGAUUUGUUCCAGCCUGCAGACGUAGUAUUGAUCAGUAGUGAUCAGUGAUGUCAGAGUGGAGUCAGUGUGAUGUCACAUGUUGAUCAGCUGUGUGUUUUGGACUCCAGCAUCUUGUUGUUGUUUGUUUUAGACUCUUAGUGUCAUGAAGGCGUCCUGCCGUAGAUCCUGUUAACUGUGACAGAGGUCUCACUCUGGACCAAACUUUCCAGCAUCGUGGAGGACGUUCCCUCACCGUAACAUCUGGAGGA